UCCUACGGGAGGCAGCAGUGAGGAAUAUUGGUCAAUGGGCGGAAGCCUGAACCAGCCAAGUCGCGUGAGGGAUUAAGGCCCUGCGGGUCGUAAACCUCUUUUGCCGGGGAGCAGAGGUCCGGACGUGUCCGGGCCGGGAGAGUACCCGGAGAAAAAGCAUCGGCUAACUCCGUGCCAGCAGCCGCGGUAAUACGGAGGAUGCGAGCGUUAUCCGGAUUUAUUGGGUUUAAAGGGUGCGUAGGCGGGCAUUUAAGUCAGCGGUAAAAUGUCCGGGCUCAACCCGGGCCGGCCGUUGAAACUGGGGG
rnacentral:rRNA from 1 species